rnacentral:rRNA from 1 species
GAUGAACGCUGGCGGCGUGCCUAACACAUGCAAGUCGAGCGAUUUACUUCGGUAAAGCGCGGCGGACGGGUGAGUAACGCGUGGGUAACCUGCCCUGUACACACGGAUAUCAUACCGAAAGGUAUGCUAAUACGAGAUAAUAUGCUUUUAUCGCAUGGUAGAAGUAUCAAAGCUUUUGCGGUACAGGAUGGACCCGCGUCUGAUUAGCUAGUUGGUGAGGUAACGGCUCACCAAGGCGACGAUCAGUAGCCGACCUGAGAGGGUGAUCGGCCACAUUGGAACUGAGACACGGUCCAAACUCCUACGGGAGGCAGCAGUGGGGAAUAUUGCACAAUGGGCGAAAGCCUGAUGCAGCAACGCCGCGUGAGCGAUGAAGGCCUUCGGGUCGUAAAGCUCUGUCCUCAAGGAAGAUAAUGACGGUACUUGAGGAGGAAGCCCCGGCUAACUACGUG